rnacentral:rRNA from 1 species
AACGAACGCUGGCGGCAGGCUUAACACAUGCAAGUCGAACGGAUCCUUCGGGAUUAGUGGCAGACGGGUGAGUAACGCGUGGGAACGUACCCUUUGCUACGGAAUAACUCAGGGAAACUUGAGCUAAUACCGCAUGUGCCCUACGGGGGAAAGAUUUAUCGGCAAAGGAUGGGCCCGCGUUGGAUUAGCUAGUUGGUGGGGUAAUGGCCUACCAAGGCGACGAUGCAUAGCUGGUAUGAGAGGAUGAUCCGCCACACUGGGACUGAGACACGGCCCAGACUCCUACGGGAGGCAGCAGUGGGGAAUAUUGGACAAUGAGCGCAAGCCUAGUCCAGCCAUGCCGCGUGAGUGAUGAAGGUCUUAGGAUUGUAAAGCUCUUUCACCGGUGAAGAUAAUGACGGUAGCCGGAGAAGAAGCCCCGGCUAACUUCGUG